rnacentral:rRNA from 1 species
UGGGGAAUUUUGGACAAUGGGCGAAAGCCUGAUCCAGCAAUGCCGCGUGUGUGAAGAAGGCCUUCGGGUUGUAAAGCACUUUUGUCCGGAAAGAAAUCCUUGGCUCUAAUACAGUCGGGGGAUGACGGUACCCGGAAGAAUAAGCACCGGCUAACUACGUGCCAGCAGCCGCGGUAAUACGUAGGGGUGCAAGCGUUAAUCGGAAUUACUGGGCGUAAAGCGUGCGCAGGCGGUUUGCUAAGACCGAUGUGAAAUCCCCGGGCUCAACCUGGGAACUGCAUUGGUGACUGGCAGGCUAGAGUAUGGCAGAGGGGGGUAGAAUUCCACGUGUAGCAGUGAAAUGCGUAGAGAUGUGAGGAUACCGAUGGCGAAGGCAGCCCCCUGGGCCAAUACUGACGCUCAUGCACGAAAGCGUGGGGGAGCAAACAGGAUUAGAUACCCUGGGUAGUCCACGCCCUAAACGAUGUCAACUAGUUGUUGGGGAUUCAUUUCCUUAGUAACGUAGCUAACGCGUGAAGUUGACCGCCUGGGGAGUACGGUCGCAAGAUU